rnacentral:rRNA from 1 species
GACGGGGGAUGCAAGGGUUAUCCGGAAUCACUGGGCGUAAAGCGUCUGCAGGUGGUUUCCUAAGUCCACUGUUAAACCUUGAGGCUCAACCUCAAAUCUGCAUUGGAAACUAGGAGACUUGAGUAUAGUAGGGGUAGAGGGAAUUUCCAGUGGAGCGGUGAAAUGCGUAGAUAUUGGAAAGAACACCGAUGGCGAAGGCACUCUACUGGGCUAUUACUGACACUCAGAGACGAAAGCUAGGGGAGCAAAUGGG